UGCAGUAGAACGCUGAAGGAGGAGCUUGCUUCUCUGGAUGAGUUGCGAACGGGUGAGUAACGCGUAGGUAACCUGCCUGGUAGCGGGGGAUAACUAUUGGAAACGAUAGCUAAUACCGCAUAAGAGUAGAUGUUGCAUGACAUUUACUUAAAAGGUGCAAUUGCAUCACUACCAGAUGGACCUGCGUUGUAUUAGCUAGUUGGUGGGGUAACGGCUCACCAAGGCGACGAUACAUAGCCGACCUGAGAGGGUGAUCGGCCACACUGGGACUGAGACACGGCCCAGACUCCUACGGGAGGCAGCAGUAGGGAAUCUUCGGCAAUGGACGGAAGUCUGACCGAGCAACGCCGCGUGAGUGAAGAAGGUUUUCGGAUCGUAAAGCUCUGUUGUAAGAGAAGAACGAGUGUGAGAGUGGAAAGUUCACACUGUGACGGUAUCUUACCAGAAAGGGACGGCUAACUACGUGCCAGCAGCCGCGGUAAUACGUAGGUCCCGAGCGUUGUCCGGAUUUAUUGGGCGUAAAGCGAGCGCAGGCGGUUAGAUAAGUCUGAAGUUAAAGGCUGUGGCUUAACCAUAGUACGCUUUGGAAACUGUUUAACUUGAGUGCAAGAGGGGAGAGUGGAAUUCCAUGUGUAGCGG
rnacentral:rRNA from 1 species